AAUAAGUAAAGAGAUAAAGAGUAGAGAAACAAGAUGAUAGAUGAAAUCAAAUGCGGAAUCUGAAUAACUUGGAAAAAUCUUGAAUUACAGGUUGCAGAAGCGGCGCAGCUAGAGUAAAAUAGAAAAUAAAACUGAAGCAAAAACUCAAUGUCGACUAGAUGUCUCAGGACAGAACCCUAAGACAUUU
rnacentral:sRNA from 1 species